rnacentral:rRNA from 1 species
CACGCUGUAAACGAUGAGUGCUAGAUGUCGGGAAUUUAUUCUCGGUUUCGCAGCUAACGCAUUAAGCACUCCGCCUGGGGACUACGAUCGCAAGAUUAAAACUCAAAGGAAUUGACGGGGGCUCGCACAAGUGGUGGAGCAUGCGGUUUAAUUCGAUGCUACGCGAAAAACCUUACCAACCCUUGACAUGGUGGUCGCGGGGACCAGAGAUGGACCCCUUCAGUUCGGCUGGACCACACACAGGUGU